GGCGGGGGGGUGCUGAGCCCAGCCACACCCAGAGGCUGGGAAGGGGGCUGCCUCCCUGGCCUCCUGACUUCGGGGUCUCUUCCCAGCAAAGUCGGCUCAGUGGUGCUGUGCCCAAGGCUGGUGAUUCCUCCUGAAUUGUCCCUGAGAUGGCCAGAAGAGCACCCAGACCAUUCUCCUGCCUGUCCUCAGGCCUUCCCACAGGUGUGGGUCUUAGCCUUUGCUUCUCUGUAGCAGAGGCCCAUUAUCACUGGGUUUCUGGAGAGUUCUGUCACUGGGAUUGUUAAAACAGAAGAAAGUAAACCAAACUGUGAUCUAGGGAGCCUUGGAUUCCCACUGAGAGCAAGACAGCAUCUUCAUACACUAGACUCUCUCCCACAACCAGGGCCUUUGGCCUAAGUAAGCCUGGCUCCUGAUCUCCCACCCAUGUGGAUCAUGGGAAGAAGGGAAGCCAAUGGUGUCUUCAUGGAGGGCAGAAAUGGCUGUUGGAGAGGGCUACAGUGGAGGACACUUAGAGGAGCCCUCUCAUCUCUACUCGGACUCUUCCCUUAGAGGCCAGCUCAGCCCUUUCCCUUCAGCCACACCAUUCGAGGAAAAUAAAGGAGGAAGAUCACGGAUGCCAUGGGUCCUGUCUAGUUCACGGUCAACACUUCAAAGUUGGGUUAAUGGAGGAGGCUGA